UGUGUUGAUACAAAUGCUGAAAAUUUGUCUGUUUCUGUUAUUGGACUUCUUGUGGUUGCACCCAAUGAAUGAGACGGUGAUGGGGAAGCUGUAGUUGCUAAAAGCAAAUUGAAUUUGAGACCGCUUAAAUUGUUCUGUUGAAAUUCGAACAGUUUGUCUCACCAAAAACAUGGUGAGUCUCUCUCUGUAGUCGAUUGUGAGAUAACUGUUAUUAAGUUAAACAUUAUGGCAGCUAGUCUAUCUCAGAUGACAAGGAUGAACAAUUUAAACCCUAACAAUGCUGUAUAACAAAUGUUGGUCAGCUGUACAUUCAAUGUGUUGUGCAUCAAUCUUCCUAAUUACUGAUAUGUUUAUCUGAUUUUAUUACUGUUACUGUAUUUAAAGAACAUA